UGUGGAAGCCAUUAUCUAUCCAUCCAUUGAAAUACAACAGAUAUGGAAGCUCAGCAGGUAGAAGAGCAGCCACAAUACAGUUGUUAUCGGCAUCGGCGAGUAAAGUUUCCGGUGAUUCCGAAUUUGGGCUUGCGAGUUCUAGUUAAAGUUCAUCCAGAAUUCUCUUUUUAUUUAUCCUUGAAACAGAAUUGUUAUGAAUAUUGCAGAUGGUUUUUGAUAUCGAUUAGGCCCGAAGUUUCUGUCAUUGCUACGUUUUGAUCCGAGGAAACCAGCCUUAUUACGGCAUAUUCAUAGCUUUCACUUAUCCAACUUGAAACUAGUGCGUGGUUCGUUACCACCUGACUUCCAUUUCAUGAACCCUAGUUUGUUGGUAUUCUUGCUUCCAGAGAAUAUUGUUCUCAUGGUUUCAUGGCAAUUUUACUGAUUUUGACGAAUGUAAAAGUUGAUUCAGUUCCAUACCCUUUUUCUUCUUUUCUUUUCUUUUUUUUUUUCCCCUCCUGAUCGGCAAUUGUUGGUGGAGGGUUUUACUCCGUGGACAAGAGACUUCAAAUCAAAGGGUUUCUUCGGAUCCGCACUUAGGAUUUCUACAAUGAAAUGGCCAAGCUCGUCGGAGAAGUUACAGUAUCAAAUCUGAGCCCAACAUAUACUUUUGAACAUUAUCAGUAGUGAAGAAAAGGAAGAAAGAACAUUAUCGAAGUGAGUUGUGUGGUAUUCCCUCAAAAGGUAGAGUGAGAGUGAAACUAAUUGUUCAUUUUUGUUGUUUCUUCCAUGUCUCAUGCAACAACCUUGAUGGCUAGACUGGAAACCUCUUUCUUUUACCAGUUUUAGAUCAGAGAAAUAUUAUGUGCAGUCCUUAUCGAGCUGGCAAACCAAUUAAUGGCCCCUUGAUGUUAGUGCUUUGUUAUUCACAUAGAAUGUUGUAGCUGCAGAGAGCAAACCUAAAGGAAAGGUCAUGCAAAAUGCUUGUUUGCUGAAAAUUUGUAAUUUAUGUUUAUGUGAAAUGUGUUUUAAUCCAGGAUCUCCAAGAAUCCAACUAGUGACAUAAUUGGGUCAUCAAAAUUUGCCAUCAAAUCUGAUAAAAAUGACUAGGUGAUGCUUAUAUGUGCUAUUUCUUUGGCUUAGACAGAAGAGUAAGAAACUGUCUCGAUGUCACCUUGAAAGGGAACCUAGAGGGACUGAGAAAAACUGUGUUUUGCUUCCUAGUGCACUGGCUAGCCUUAUACUUUGUAAGGACCUUGUUGGCCACAUCAUGGGUCCUCCCCCAACUAAAAUGUGCAGAGACCUUAUGGCAUGGGACUACCGAAGCAUUAUGAGGGCUAGGAAUUGAACCCACGACCUCAAACUUGCAAGGUGAUUUUUUUGAGCCAUCCUACAUUGAACUACCACAUUGGGCUCUGUUAUUUCAUAAUCUUUAAACCUUUCUCAAAUAAAUAACAUAACAAUGACAAUUGAUAACAACAACAAUGUAUCAAGCCUUUAUCCCACUAUCUAGGGUUGGCUUUUGAAAUAAAUAACGUGAUGGUGAAAUAAAUAACAUCAAGAAAAAGGUUUAGACAAACUGCUUUACAUUUUAUGUUACAGGUGUGAUCUAAUUUCUUAGAACUGUAUGUCAUAAUUCUAAUGGCAUAGUUUACUUUCCACAGGGAAGCAUGGUGGAUGACAGUUCACUUAUUUGUGUCAGUUCUCAGAGAUGGAAAUUGUGAUUGACUGAAUAAAUUGUGGUUGAGUUUCUGUUCUUAUACCUCAUUCUUUGCAAAUUGUUCCCUGCUCAUAUUAUACCUGAUGUGUAUGUAGAUAAAUUUGUUCCCUUUGCAAAUUGUUCCCUGCUCUCAGAUGUUGGUUUCUACUCCUUGUACGUCCGAAACUGUUUCUUUCCAUCCAUCAUUGCAUUGUUGAUUUAGCUGCAUGCACAUCUAACUGCAUAGUUUUUAUCUGCAAUUUCUCUCUGCCACAAGGGCUUCCAUACCAGCCACUGCGUGAAAUGUUGCAUGAAUCUUGUAGGAAUGAGAGAUUAGAUUCAUUGCAAUAAGGAAGAGUAUGAUGGAAGGAACGAGUAAGCCCUGAGAUGGAAUGUGAUAGUUUAUCCUGUGCAAAUACAUAAAAAACAUGAAGGUGCUACACGUAAAUUAUUACUUCUUUUUGCUUAAGACCUUGACUGCUCAAAUUCUUAUCUCCAGGCAAGGUCACUAUUAAACCAUCAAAACAACUUAUUGAUUGAUAUUUUUUUUAUUUUUUGCUUGAAAUUGAUUGACAUUAUUAAUACUACUACUAUUAGGGUUUUUAACAAAGAAACAAAUUGUGAAUUUUUUUUUUCGGUCCUGGCAACUAAUUCUCUUCCUUACUGGUCUGGACAAAUGUACCCAUAAGGGUUGCAAUUUUCUGCCCACAAUCCUGACCUCAAGAUGCUAAAUUUCCAAUUUUUGCCCCCACCACACCCCCCCCCCCAAAAAAAAAAACUCCCUUUUUCCCUCUAUGUUGGCACAUCAAGGCACAUAUACCUUAGAUUUCAGCCCCUUGUUGCAACCUUUUGUCUCCAAUCAGCGAUGCACUAUAACAUGCUUUGAAUUGACAUUUUUUUGUCAACUAUCCCCUUUGUAGAGCUAUAGGGAAUUCAAAAUUGAAAAGAUGAAGAAGCCCCAUACGCCCACCUCAUACCUAUGUGUCCCUAGACUAUAGUUGAGCAAUAGCCUCAUGUUUCAUGCUGCUUAACCUUCACUCUUCUCUGUUUUAGCCUAUCUAUAGGGAGUAUUCCUCUUUUCUCCAUUAUUGCCUGUGCAUAUCUAGAGCUCAAUUUAUUUGUAAGUAAAACCCUUAUCCCAAAUGAUAAAAUUUCUUAUGAUUAAAAAGCUGCCUGACCCCCCCCCCCCCCCCCAAAAAAAAAAAAAAAAAAGAAAUAAAGAAAAAAAAAAACUUAGCAUUUUUUGUUAUUGUCUCUUACAAAUAUAUAGUUAAUGGUUCAGCCAACCAAGAAUUUCCAAUGCCUAUUGUAAUUUGUCAAACCAAUGAAAUUUCUUUCUACUAAACUCUGUUGUCUCCCUGCAAGUAUUGUUGGAUAAGCUCUGUUAUUAAUUUGAUUUCUUUUUCAUUUCAUUUUUCUACUUUAUCUUGGUUUGUUUGUGUAUUUAUUUCUCCUUGCAUUUCUUGUAGAAUUCAAAAAACUACGUAUAAAAACAGAAUAUGCUUUGUGAGAAAGGGUCAAUUAUGGUUAUAUUACAAGAUCCAGAACACAUAUUUCUGUGGAACCAAUGUUGGUAAGUACAUAAAUUUGACAUCCAAACCACAUUUCUUGGAAGAAAGAGAAACAGAGACAGACGUCUCCUUGCUGCCCUGAUAAAGGGCAGGGGUUAUGUAUAAGCUUGUGGUUUUAUGAACUUGAAUAGAGCAAGGAAAGCUGCUAAGUUAAAUCAUGCUAAGUAUCGCCAAUCCAAACUGUUGUUCAUAUUUUAGCUUGUGGUUUAUUGAUGCCAGUUGAACUUCUCAUAAUGCCUGAUCAUACCAUCUAGUCCAUAUUCCUUGAGCUUUCCUGCUUUGAUAUGCAGGUAUUUUGCGUUCCGUGGUACAGAAGCGCCUUAUGCAGAGAUUGACCAUGCGGGCUCGAAACUCCGGUUGUGCUUUUUUCUAAGACUCCAGUAAGUGGGCAAGUGCAGAGAAAUCUAGGUUUUGACCUUCUCAUUGGUGAGGUUGAUGAUGGUUUUUGCUUAUGCCUUUCUCUUUAGCCAGGUGGACACUUGAUUACAUUAAUCCUGUCUGUAAGAUUUAUCAUCAAUUUCAUUCAAAACUUACUGGAAAUUUCCGAAAUUUUUUUGGUUCUUCUCCUAGAAUCGAGAUCUCUUUUGAGGUUCCAUAAACAAAACCUCUGGUUAAGAAAA